AACGUAGGUGGCAAGCGUUAUCCGGAUUUACUGGGCGUAAAGGGUGUGCAGGCGGGACUGCAAGUGGUGUAUGAAAUCUCCCAGCUUAACUGGGAUAGGUUAUGCCAGACUGCAGUUCUAGAGGACGAGAGAGGGGGGUGGAAUUCCGGGUGUAGUGGUGAAAUGCGUAGAGAUCCGGAGGAACCCCAGAGGCGAAGGCGGCCCCCUGGCUCGUAUCUGACGCUCAGCCACGAAAGCAUGGGGAGCGAACGGG
rnacentral:rRNA from 2 species